AGGGUUGAUGUGUUGUUAUGAUUAGGCUUAGAUUAAUCUGAUUAGGGUUAUGGCAAUUCUAAAUAAUAUUCUGCCUCAAUGUGUUGUUAUGAUUAGGGCUAGAUUAAUCUGAUUAAUGUGUUGUUAUGAUUAGGGUUGAUGUGUUUUGUUGUAUUUGGUGUAUGAACUGUGUUACUGAGUGGUCAAUAAGGCUAGUUAAAUCCAAAUUUAUUGUUCUCCCUUUUACUUAAUGUUUCAUAUGAGAUUGGAACUAUGCUUGCAAUUUUUGGAUAAUGUUCUGUCUAAAAACAUUGGGUUUCCUUGCAUGUUACUAAUAACUGCCAAUGCUCUGUAAAUAUUGUAGUUUUUGCUCUGUAAUGACUCUGUAAAGAUUGAUGUGAUGUUAUGGCUAGGGUUAGAUUAAUCUGAUCUGACUAGGGUUAUGAGUAGGGUUUUGGUGAAUCUGAUCUGAGGAUAAGUUUCAAUUGAGAUUAGAAUAAGUUUCAAUUUACAUUGGAACCAUGCUUGCAAUUUUUGGAUUAUGUUUCAAUUUGGAUUAUGUUAUGUCUAAAAACAAGCAGAAUAAGUUUCAAGCUGGAUUAUGUUAUGUCUAAAAACAUUGGGUUUCCUUGCAUGUUAAUAACAACUUAAGUUACAGAACAAAACAUCUUGGAUUAUGUUCAUGUAGAUCUAGCUGUUUGGUGCAUUAUCCUUAUUAGCUGUCUUCACUUGCAAUCUGUCUCCAAAUUCAAUUCAAGUUCACAUGGCAUGCUUGGUGUGUGGUGGUCAACUCUGAUACAUCAUAAAGAGAGGGAUAAAAUAGUCCAUCCUAAAUCAAAACAUAUUCCAGCAUGUGGCUCGUUUGCCUUUUGAUAUCUAUGGCAGGCAAAAAUAUUUGUUAGCAUGUGGCUUCAUCUAUGCCCUUAUAAUGAUUUGAUUAACUGAAGGUUAGUUGACAUCUUGUUGCUUGGCUUGGCUGCAGGAGUUGCACAUCAAAGUUGCUGGUUCAGUGAACAGAAAUAAAGCUAUGCUUAGGGAAAAUUCACUUAUAUUUUGAUAUUUAGGUGGUAUAUAUAAUUACACUAUAUAAUAAGAACUUAUAUAUAUAAUCAGAAGUCUCUGUUAUGCUUAUGCAAAUGGUUUGUGCUGUUAAGUCUCUGUUUUCACUUCUUCUCUGUUAAUAUCUGGAGUCUGGUAAUAAUUAGUGAGUAGCUUCCAUCACUGAUGUGCUCCUCCCAAUUUGAUCUAAAAUUUUUGUACCUGUUAAAUGGUAUUGAUGAUUGAAUCAGUUUCUAGUUUCUGGCCAGCUUCUGUAAUUAUUAGUAGUGCUAUUGUAACUGCAACUGCUAGUUUGUUCUUCCUUUAAUCUAACUGAUAAUGCUAUUUUUGGUAGCCUGCAAUUUAAAAGGAUGUUCUCAUCCAUGAGUACAUCCAACAUUCAGUAGUGCUAUGGUAACUGCAAAUGCUACUGCUUAGUAUUAAUCCAAUUUAAAAGGAUGCUACUGCUUAGUAUGUUUGCCAAAAUGAAUAUUAAUUUGCUGCCAGCUUCUGAUUACUCAUACUAAUUGUUAUUUUGUCUACUUUUUGAUGCAGCUCCAGGUCUUUGUUGAGGAAAAGUCCUCUGAGGAAGACGUGUCUGACGUGUCUUCCUACACGUGGGUGACAGACAACUCUUGCGACAACUCUGGCGACAACUCUUGCGACUGCCUGUAUCACCACCGUCCAGCCCACAUGGACGGUCUGCAGUGGGCUCUCAAGCGCGCCAAGAACGAGGCCAUGGCGUGCGUCGAUGCCAGUGCAGCUACCUACUCCAGGGAGGCAAAGAAGGACAUCAAUGGCAUCUUCGCGGACCUGUACGACGAGAUCAAGGCCAAGUACAAGCCGAAGAAGUGAAGUCUGGUUCCAGCCCUUUGCUUGGAUGUCUGGUAGGAAGACCUUUGCUGUAGCAUAAAUAAUAUAAUGCAAGUGGUUGCUCUGAGCAGUAGGUGCUGAUUAGAGAGUAGGGAGACUUUUGGUAUGUGGAUAUGCAGCCACUACAAAUGUCAGUGGUGGACUGGUAGUUGGCAUGUGAACUAUGAACUAUGUCUGCUAGGAAGAACUACUAUGAACUAUGUUGGCAAGCUAUCAUGGUGACUCUGUAGCUUGGAACCACUAAUAUUAGUCAUGUUUAAUAUUGCUUAUAUCUGUGUGUUAAGUUGUCUGAUUCAAAUCAUUAUGUGCCUAAGUUGUGUGCUGGAGCUUGACUAUGAGUUGUAAUUCAUUUAUUAAUUAUGUGAUA
rnacentral:lncRNA from 1 species